GUGGGGAAUAUUGCACAAUGGGCGAAAGCCUGAUGCAGCGACGCCGCGUGAGCGAUGAAGUAUUUCGGUAUGUAAAGCUCUAUCAGCAGGGAAGAAAAAAUGACGGUACCUGACUAAGAAGCUCCGGCUAAAUACGUGCCAGCAGCCGCGGUAAUACGUAUGGAGCAAGCGUUAUCCGGAUUUACUGGGUGUAAAGGGAGUGUAGGCGGUUUUAUAAGUCUGAUGUGAAAGCCCGCGGCUCAACCGCGGUACUGCAUUGGAAACUGUAGAACUAGAGUGUCGGAGAGGUAAGUGGAAUUCCUAGUGUAGCGGUGAAAUGCGUAGAUAUUAGGAGGAACACCAGUGGCGAAGGCGGCUUACUGGACGAUUACUGACGCUGAGGCUCGAAAGCGUGGGGAGCAAACAGG
rnacentral:rRNA from 1 species